GGAAAAACCCCAUGCUAUACAAACACAGCAAUUUAACAUAAGCAACAUUCCCAUUUCAGGAAAUUAAACCAUUAUCCUUAACAGAUGUAGUGCUCCAUGACUACAUAUAUACAUAUAUAGUCGUAUAGCCCUUACGACUUUCGCCAGGUUGCACCUCCUCAUCCACACCGCCUUUCCUCAAGCCAGGCCCCUUACUGACCCAAGUUGCGUUCUUGAGUGCUUUUGCCUGGCUGGAAUGUAUCCUUGAAUUCUGAUCAUGUGCCUUGCUUGCUUGAAAAGAAGAUAGAGAAAGUGUGCUGGUCUAUGUAGGAACUAGUCUACUGUAUAAAGGUAACAUUUGCAUUCAUUUCUCUGCUCACGUUCACCAUUGGCCCCACUGGCAUGUGCUCCACAGAAGGGAAUCCAACCCUUUGUCUGAAAAAUGGUUCUCCACCCCUGAUCUAAAUGUUUGGCAGGUAUAUUCCCUGUUUGACCCCCAUAAUCAAAACGGGCAGCUAUUCAGAGCAGCUCUAGAGACAUUUUGUAUCCACCCUCUCUAUCUGAAUGCAAUAUUGAAGCAGUUUCAACUGGCAAUAAAGAAAAUCAAUGCUUGAAAUAAACUUAUGCGUAUUAGGGGAGAUGCUGCCAGCAGCGCAACUUAUGUAAACAAAGAUGGGCUUAUUCAAAACUUUUUUGUAUUCAUAUGUGGGCAUUAGCCCCCAGCAGCUUUAUUUUGAUGCAUUCUAGUAAUAAGACAUAGCAGAUACAGACUUAUAAGGGCACGAAAUGGCUGGAUCAUUUCCACAGCAUAAUUCACUCGGCAUAGAUUUGUGUAUGAAUUCUAUCCCUCUCUUUCUGUGUCUGCCUUGGUGGAGGUGAGAUAAAUUCACUCCAAAAUGGCCCCGAGGACCUACAAAUGUAAGGAAUCCCAGGCCAAAUAGAGACCUGUCAAUCUCCCGACACAGCGGGAGACAACCCUGGCACUUAAAUUUUGCAGCAAUAACUCAUUUCCUUGCAACUUCUGUGUGAGUGACCCUUUGACUUUAUCAGCCUCUCUCUGAGAGAGACCGAGUUUCAUUCCUCUUUUUUUGUCCCUUCAUCAGGUCAUUUAACCUUAGUUCCUUAAAUAUGCAGGGGGGAGAGAAACUUGUGCAGAUUGCUAGAUCUACAUCCAGGCCAUCUAAAUCAGGUAUGUGAAAUGGGUAAGGCAUGCCUACUUAGAGUGUGAAGCUUAAUUUGUGCAUGUGUGAUGCAACUUCACCCAGAGGCCUCUAGCAGGAGAUCACCUUCCCCACUGUUGUCCCCCCAGCCACCACCAAUAAGUACACUUUGGGAAGGAAAUGAGGCAAUGCACAGGGUAUCCCAGUGUUGGGAGAAUCACAGAGGCUGGUUCAGAGUGGCCAUGUGUCCUACUUUACUGUCCUCUCUUUGAAGGCACCCUCUGUUUGAAGAGCUGCCCUAUCUAAGACCUGUUAAAGAUAAAAAACCACAAGAAUGGAGAAUAGCAGCCUUGAAGUUGCCUGUCAACUGUUGGGUAUACAGGUAACCUGCAUGUCUGCUCAGUCUGCUGUCCAAUUGUUGUCACCUUGCCACAGCCUUCCCCACUAUGAUGAGAUGCACUGUAUUUCUAUUUCAGUCAUAGCAAUUAUUUCAAAUUCUAAACACACAUAUUAGCUUAUGCAAAUCCUCUUUUUUAAAAUGAUGUACAGUCGUACCUUAGAUCCUGAACGCCCAGGAACUCAGACAUUUUGGCUCCUGAACGCUGCAAACCCAGAAGUCAUUGUUCUGGUUUGCGAACGUUCUUUUGGAACCCAAAUGUCUGAUGGGGCUUCCGCGGCUUCUGAUUGGCUGCAGGAGUGUUUUGCAAGUCUAACGGACUUCUGGAACGGAUUCCAUUCAGCUUCCAAGGUACGACUGUAUUUCCCCUGUUUUGGUGGCCCCUCUGCAUUCAGACUCUAUUGUCCUUUCUGUGACAUCAUUCAGACUCUACAAUUCUAUGAGGAGUGCAAUGGGGUCAAAAUUUGCAACUGAGCUUGGGGGUGAGGGAACAAGCCACUCCCUUAAAAAAAAAAAGUAGCAGGUUUUGCUGAGUCUAAUUUUGAAUCAAGCCAAGGAAAGACAUCGCUAGCCUGUAGUCAGGAUUAGGAUUGCUAUCAUACUGCUUUAGGUCUCUGAAACAUUAACACCUAUACCCAGCCUGUGCUCAUUUGACUCAGCUCUUUGUAAGUGAUGACCAAAUCCCAAUGGGAGAGCUGCAUACUCACAUGCCCCACUACCUCCAAAAAGCUUUCCUUAAAGCCUUUAUUAAAAGAUUUAUUUCAAUUCCUGCUGGAACAAAUUCAUUCUGCGCUAUGGCCUGAAGCACUCUGAAACUCUGGCGCUGAUAAAAAUCACCAGAGGAGCGGACUACCGCAGACAAGGGUUUUGAUAUUUAGAAGGCCUUGCGCCCGCAGCAGCUGCCACACUGCUCCACUCAACUACCAUGGCUGCUGAGAAGAACGGAGGGAGGGAAUGCUCUUUGGGCAACAAGAUUCUAGGGCAUUCUGAUUAAGCAGCCACUGUAAUUGACCUCCAGAGUAAAUGGGUAGCCAGGGGCAAGAGAGAAAGGGGGCGGGUAGAUUUUGCAUAUGUAGAGUGGCCUACUUAAGUAUACUUCAAUAUGAACUUAUAGGACUGUCAUUGAAAUUCUACUCAAUAUUGAUCCAGAGCAGAUUCCAAUGUAUAGUUAGCAAAGUAGAAACUUAAACACGUUGCAGGAUUCCCAAAAAUAGACCAGAGGAAAUUAAUAUUUCAUCCAGCAGAGCUUUACUGCUAUGGAAGGCAAAUGAGAAUAGUGGUCACAAUUCCAAUACAUUCAGGGUUGUAACUGUCCAUAAGAAAUCAAGUUGCAGCAGACUUAACUUAAACUUACAGUAAUUUAUAAUAAGACUAAACCUUAAUGCUAUACGUAUACAGAAAACCACACCAGAAGGAAAAAGGAUAGAAAGAGAAAGUGAAGCCCAGGGUCCUUCUGGCCUAUUUUUAUAGUCAGCAUGACCUUGACUGAAGAGAUAACAGAACCAGUUUAAGCCAGCUGUACUCAGCUUCUCUAAAGGAAUAACCCAAACAUCACGAACUUUCUGCUUGUUUCUUUUACACAGAGAAGCUUUCAGAACUCUCUUGAAUUAAUUAGAAUAGGAGAGAUCUCUACACAUCAGAUCAAUAUUUUCUGCACUAAGAAAUGCAAACUGACAAGGACAUCUCAGUUUUUAUCAGAGAAAUGUUGGAUGGUAUGCAUCAAAUUUAUCUUUUUGAAUGCAUUCAUUUGCAGACUUCUGAAUGCAAAAAUGCUGCAGUGCUCUGUGGGUGCUAGCUCCAUAGUUCUGAUCAGUAUUUUGUGUACAUUGACCAAUAAGGUGACAAGGUGAAAGCAGCUGUGGUGAUACUUCAUUGGAAAGCUCUGUGCAUCUUUGAUAAAGUAAAUGCAGUGACCUUUGCUUUCUAGAUUUAGGUACGCACUCUGAGUGACUCAGCUGGGGCCAAAGGGCGAAACUCUUGCACUCUGAUUUACCUGCUGAGCAGAUGACAUUUGCUUUCAAGGAAGCAGCACCGGCGCAAAAGGAAAUGGAAGAUCUGAGCGACAACGGCAUGCUUUGUGGUAUCCCUCCUAUCUACAAAGGACGGGCCAGCUUCUCUUCCAGACCACAUAGGGAAAUGCACAGAGAACGUCUAUGCUGCACUGUGGUCUACAAUUGUAAAAUUAUUUGAACACCUGGUUCUGUGAGUUUCUCAACAGAACAUGUUGUCACUCACAGUUUGGUGACGAUGAAGCACUUGCGAAGACACCAGCACAUAUAAACAAAAGAGCUAGGAGAUUUGGCAGCCAGCACAAAGUGUGCAGUUCUCUGAAACCACCAUAGCAGAUUGAGGAAAAGAGGAACCGACUUGCCAGCUAUCCAUUCACUUAGUGCCCCCAAAGCAGCUGGCUAGUAGGGGGUGCUUCAAAUUGCAGAUUCUGAAGUUGCCAGGUGGUAUAAGGCACCAGGAGCCUUCAAACCCCUCGCCUGUAUAAAUAAGAUGCAGCUGUGUUUAGACCACUGCCUGCACACCACCAAUACUCAUUUGCAUCAUUUUAUUUACUUUUUAAAAAAAUGAUAUUUAUUGGAAAAAAAAUUAGAAUUACAAAAAAAACAAAGCAGAAAAAAGAAAAAAAAAAGAAAAAAUAAAUCCAUCAUUCUCAAAUUCAAAUUCUCAACUUUCAUUGCCUUCUUUCUUUGACCUCCUCCUCCUCCCUUUUCUUGUAUCCCAAUUAAUAAUCGUCACAGCAAAUCCCUUACAUAAUUCAUAAUAUUCUGUCAUUACAUUACCUUAAUCUAUUUUCAUCUUAUCUUAUAAAAAACCUUAAGGCUUAAAGCUUAAAUCUUAUUUUUACCAACUUCUCAUAACCAUAAUAUUCUUACCUAAUUCUUUAAACAUUUUUGCUAGAGCCAAGUAAUUUCAUUUCAACAUUUUUCUAACAUUCAUCAAUUUUAUAAAACAAUCCUAACGAUUAAAAAAAAGAAAUAGGCACAAUCCAAUCUUCAACCAGCGUCCCUUCCUCCUGGUCCCGGGUUUUGUCAGUCCUUUUUAUCCCAUUGAUCUAGCGCAUUAACCUGGUAACCUUAUAUCCGAGGCCCUCAAGUCUCUUCCAUGUCCCUUCCGCAGCUCUUCUUCAUAUUUUCCUUUCACUCGUGGGAACUCCAGCUUGGUAAUGUUCUUGACCCUUUUCAACGAAUCAGCCCCUUUUCCAUAGUCCGGACUAAACUCCAUGUGAUAUUUAAGAACAUGUUUCAGAUUCCCUCCAAAAUUGAGAGCCCACACAGCUCCAAACAUCUGACGGCCCAUUGCCAGACUCGGAAAGUCCAAACAACCCUGCGUGGGGGGGUCAAUCCAACCCCCCAUUUCCAAUCCAAUCCAAACCUUAUCUUUCCAAAUCUGGUUUUUUCCAAGAUCAUUUGUUAAAUCCAAAGGCUCAUGUUCCUGCAGGGCCGCAGUUUCCUCCAUCUCUGGUGCCCAAGAUUCAGCAACGUCCUCUUCUCUCAUCUGUUCUGUCAGGGCACACUCCUGUUUUAGUUCCUGGGUGGGCUCCAUAUAGUUUCCCACUACCUGUUCAAAAGUUCUGGCCGCAUUAGUCAUCAAGUCCGUCUUCUGAUUUAACUGGUCCAGUAGGGCAUUUAUUUUACAGAGAGCACCCAACAGAGCUUCUGAAAACAUUGCCCUGCAAGGUCACAAGUCCUUUCCCACGAUUGUAAUCUGUAACAGCUGCAAGCUCCCUGGAUUUAGUUACAGUUUCACAGUCUCCCUCUAGGGGGAAAACUUCUGUUUGUUCUUUCUUUUUAAAGACAAUAGCAACAAAGUUUCUUUUUAGAGAUACUUUGUCAAUAUUUGUUCCUUUAAAAUGCGAAAGGAAACAGUGGAAUCACUAUAUCUUCUUUUAACUGUCUGUCACAAGCAUUUGUCUCUGGUCAAUGAGCUUCAAACGUCAGUCCUGACACCCCGCUCCAGGAUCAGGACGGAGGAAAGUUACUUUAUUUUGAACUCGCUUCUGCAGGUUUAAAUAGUCCAAAAAAAGAUCCCCCUUCUUCUCCUGCUACCGAAGGGGGGUUCAACAAUUUUAAAUGAUGAAAGCCAAUCCUGUAGAAGUAAUUUUCUAAGCUCUAGUUUACGUUGUCUUUGCUUUAUUCUGUCUACAGAGAAACGGAAGGCUGACUUCCUGUUUAGACCUUCCCGUUUCAGUACCAAAUUAGAUUAAAUUUUUAAGUCCAAUUCCUUUCUGCUCGCCAAUCCUUGUUUAUAGUCCAAUUGUUCAAAGUUUAUGUACUCACGGGUGAUUAUUUUAGAUGCCAAAUUGUCCCAGGAAAAAGGCAGCGCUCUCCGGCAAUGGCUAUGCGGCUUCGCUCCGCGGAAAAAGCAGUUGACUCGCGGCACCGCGCCACUUCCCCCUCUUCGCUUCGGAGCCCGUUAGUGGGUUCCUUUGCGGGUUGGGGGGGGCGCUAAAGGUGCCCGCCGAGUCCCAUGGCCACAGGCUUCAUCCGCCUGUGGUUUCUAAAAGGGUCCCCGCUUCGCCGUAGCAGAAAAGACCCGUUUCAUGAGGAGCUGGUCCCUCCAGUUCAAAGGGAGUCCGCCAUUGCCGAUGGCGCCACCCCGGAAGUCCCUGCAUCAUUUUAUUUACAUAUCGCAUCUCCAAUAUGGCAUUCAAUGUAGCAACCCCUUCCUCCACAGCCUUGGCACCUUCUGGUUUUGGUGCUGAGACAUAACUUGUAAGUGGGAACUUGGUUGAUGAAAGGUAUCGUUUUAGCCUGUUCUAACAUUUUCCCAGUAGUGAUGUAUGGAAGUGAGAGCUGGACCAUAAAGAAGGCUGAUCGCAGAAGAAUUGAUGCUUUUGAAUUAUGGUGCUGGAGGAGACUCUUGAGAGUCCCAUGGACUGUAAGAAGAUCAAACCUAUCCAUUCUGAAGGAAAUCAGCCCUGAGUGCUCACUGAAAGGAAAGAUCCUGAAGCUGAGGCUCCAAUUCUUUGGCCACCUCAUGAGAAGAGAAGAUUCCCUGGAAAAGACCCUGGUGUUGGGAAAGAUUGAGGGCACAAGGAGAAGGGGACGACAGAGGACGAGAUGGUUGGACAGUGUUCUCAAAGCUACGAACAUGAGUUUGACAAAACUGUGGGAGGCAGUGGAAGACAGGAGUGCCUGGCGUGCUCUGGUCCAUGGGGUCAUGAAGAGCUGGACACCACUAAGCGACUAACAACAACAAGGAGUAGCAGUUACGGAUAAGAGACAUCACAUUAAGUGUAGGCCAUUUAAAAUACGAUGGGCACAAUAUUGACUCCAAUAUAAGUCUCCUGCUAAAUUCUUAUUGACAUUGACAAAACAUCAGAUUUUGGCAUGGUGACUGUGCCAUGCUGAAAAGCACAAAUAUUUUUUGAAUGUGUAUUGAGACUGGGACAUCCUUUCCCAAAGGAGGUAAUUAACAGUUCUCCUAAAGACUAUGUUUUUUUCGACAAUGCCGUACAAUCAACCCCAAACAGUGGAUUAAGAUAACACAAGCAUCUUCUUCAGUGAGAUUUAAAUGAGUCCAGCAGGGAUCAAUUGAAGUCUGACACAUUCCGCUCUCAUGUACAAGGUUUCUGGCUAAUGCCGUUCUAGUUAGUUUUGUUUAUAAAUGUCUCCAGUGGGAAUUAAGACAAAGGAUUGGUCCCUGCUCCUGCCGCUUGUAAGCAGCGGGUCUUCUGAGCAGGAAGGAGAAACAGAAAUGAAAGAGAAAUAUCUAUUGCUAAGGGAAGAGUUGAAACAAUAUCAUACGCCCAGUUUUAUUUUGUGAAGGCAAAAUACAGUAAAGGAUCUUUGAUCAAGCACCGUCUCGCAAAUGUGCAGUGAUAUACUCACUUAAUGUGUGACCCCAAAAUUCCAGAUGCCCCCAAACUGAUGCCAAAGGUUAAUGCUAGUUUUGUGCCGUUUUGUGCUGCAAACCCCACAUUUUGUGUCACCCCCCAAACUGACUAAUUGUCACUCAAACCAGGGUCACAAGUAAAUGGCCAAAAACCCAACCUUGUCUGAUUGACUCCAAACCGGUGCCCAAGUGGUGCACUGAUUUGGUGGCAUUUCGUACCGCAAACCCCACUUUCUGUGCUGCUGCCCCCAAAGGGAGUAAUUAACACUCAACCUGGGGGCCGUAAGUGGGGAAUUAAGUGGGCUAAGUGCGGACUUACGUCCCCACAAACCAACUUAGCCUUAGCGCGGACUUAAGCUGGCUAAACUGGCUUAUUGGGCUAAGUGGGCUAAGUUGACUAAAGGGCCCCUUUUAGCCAACUUAAGUCCUCACUUAGCCCACUUAGUCAUGCCCUUCCCCUCUGGUAAGCAUAGUGAUAGUGGUGGUGGGAGGUUGGGUAAGUGCUGCUGCUCCUUCCUGCCCCCCACUACUGCCUUUCCAUCUCCAGCCACUUGUCCCUUCCAAGUCUUCCUUCUUCCUUGCCACACUGCUCUGUAGAUGUUCUGCAGAAACCAGGCUUCCCAGGUCUAAUUCUCCACCACACAUGUCUUCUACGCAAAUCAAGUUCAACUCCAUAAAGAACCCAUUUUGCAGCGUCUGCUAUAUAGAAGCUUGCAUCCAUCUGUUACGGUAAAAUCUGGGUGCGAGGCUGCUCUGCCACCCAGCUCGUCGGACUAAGUCCGCGGGUCCCUGCGGAGGAAAAUGAGCUCAGCCGGAAACAGGAGCAAGAUGCAGAAGAUCCAAGUUUAUUGCGCAACAGGUUCAAGGCGAGAUUGAACAGCGAGAAAGGGGUGACAUGAACUUUUAAAACUUCCCUCCAUGUCCCAGAAUACAGUGCAAAAUAAAUCACAGUUAUCAUGAAUACAUUAAGAAGAGGUUGGGUUACACAGAUUACAUCAUGAAUACAUUAAGAAGAGGUUGGGUUACACAGGAUUAACAUAUGGAGGAGGGAGGGGGAAUAUGCAGAGCUGGAAAUAUGCGCAGAUAAGCACAUCCUGAGUACCGGUGAUGAGAAGACAAUGGUCCAUGUAUGCAUAGUCUGCCACCUGGCAUUGCCCGGAGGAAAGGCUUGGCAGAGUGAUUUGACAGGAUUAGGGUCUUCCUGAGAGUACAUGACACCUCGCUUGAGGGAUUAUGGAGGACAGGGGAGGUGUCACGGAGUCCUAGAGAAAUUGAGCAAAUUGGCACGUUGAUUUUCUAUGAAUUUUAUAGAUUUUAGUCCCUUUUGACAUUGACAAUUGGACUCGGAAAUAAAUGGAUAUAUUGUAGCGAAGAAGAAGGUGAAGAAGACAUGCCCCCCCCCUUCCGUAUCAGUCAUCUUAACAAUUUUGCUUCGAAUGAAAUAUGGAAUUGGGGAGCAAACACAAUACUUUCUUCCACUAUUCCCCCCACUUGUGAGAUUUCAUUCAGCAGUUUGUUGGUAGCUUCACAACCGUCUAAAGCGGUGCUUGCGCUGUGAUGAAUGGGCUGGUUAGCUGAAUGUCAGAUAUGCGACGCUGAUUUGUGACUGGCCUGCACGUUCUGCACAGUGAUGAUAAUAACAUUAAUACUUAAUUAUUAUUGUCCCCUAUAAAGCUGUGAGGUACUGUACAUUGAUUAAAAAAUACGAUAGGCCAAGCCUGGAGGAUUACAGUGUAAUUAAGGUUAGGACACAUCAGGGAGCAAAGUGAAGGAAGGAGAGAAAGAGAGAGAGAAGACAAGAAGGGUCAGCCAGCAAAAGCUAGGAUGAAAAGAUGUGUCUAAAGCAUGGGGGAUAUUGGGGAGAGAGCUUUCCAUGAACAUUUUAAACAGAUAAUUUGUUGCAGGCUAUUUUGGCCAGUUUUCAGAGAUAAAAUGCUUUGCCUCUCCAUGAUGCUUUGCCCUGAAUUAAUUUUUGUUUGCCUUCAGUUGACAUUGUCUUUUUCUUACGUGAUCCCUGAUUGGCUAUGAUCUCCAAUCUGACCAGUUCAGAAAACAUUGCCUCACUCUAACUUGGCUUUGUUUGCUCUCAUGAUGUCAACAUGCAGCCAAAUAUGAUGUGCUACAUGGCAUUGGGAUAAAAUCACAUUUUCUAUUAGCUGGAAUCACACUCAGAAAAACCAAGAAGUCAUAAUCAGAAAAUAAAAUGGCACCGAAGCAGCAGUACACGGGGAACAGGUUAUAAGGGAAAUUAAUGGGUUUAAAAAGCACUGCAAAAUACAGAGAAACAGACAAACAUUCAGUGCAGUCCUAGGACAAACAGGUGUCUGAAUGUUGUAACAGAGAAGAGGAAAGCUGGAUGUCUGGUGGGACACAAGGAUGAAACAGAGGGGGUCAUCUCAGAUUCAGCUAAAACACUGAGACCAAAAUCCUGAAAUGAAAGAGAGGUUUAAAACAGAUUCAUUCUGCAAGGAGCACAGGGCUCUAAUAGAAGCUGAGUUGGUUCAAGGUUAUCCACUGAGCUUCAUAGCUGAGCACCUGGGAUUGCAUAAUAAUGGUGGUAGAGUCAAAUGUAGAAAACAACAGAUAACAAAUGUUGGAGAAACAGAGGGCACUUAUUAUCAUAUGCGGUGGCAAAGUAAGGUUGUUAAAAGGUAUUGAGAAAUGAUACAUAAUGAAUUUUUUAAAAUGUUCAGAAAAUAACCUUUGUCAAAAAGCCAGAAGCCUUCUUAUUAGGUAUUACAGGAGUGGAUCUAUAGGAAAAAAAUAUAAAACAUUGUUUAUGUAUGCAACAACAGCCACUCAAAUACUAUUAGCACAAUCUUAGAAAGAAGAAGUUGUCCCCACAAAAGAAGACUGGCAAAAUAAAUUAAUGGAAUAUGCAGAAAUGGGUAAAUUAACUGGGAGAAUAAGAAAUCAUGAAGACAAUAAGUUUAAGAAGGAAUGGGAAAUGUUUAUUGCAGAUAUUAAAAAGCCAUGUAUAAAAGUUAAUACAUGAGCAGGAUUUUAAAACAUGCUUGUAAUAUUAUAGACAAGGUACAAGAAUUGGAAAGAAAAAUUAUUAAAACUUUUAUGGACAUGCAAGAAUAACAUAUAACAAAGGGGAGGUAGAGAGGGAAGUCAAGGGAUUUUAAUAAUCCCAUAUUGUGGAUUUAAAAUGGAUUGUAUAUACAGUUGAUUUAAUGUUUUGAUAUAUGAUUUUUUUCCUAUAAGUGAUGUUUUGUUAUUGCCAAAAAUCAAUAAAAAUUAAUAAUAAUAAUAAUAAUAAUAAUAAUAAUAAUAAUAGUGGUGGAGUCCUCAGACUCGGUGGCUAUGCAGGAAGCCAGAUGGGAAGCCCAGGAGUGCCCCCUUUCUCCCACUUCAUUCUAUGCUCACUAUGGGUUUUAAAAAAGCAUUAUGCUCAUUGAUAAGACAUUGGGGAUAGGAAAUUGAUAAGACCUUUCUUCCAACGAGCUUAAGGUGGCAUGAACAUUUCUUCUCCUUCCUAAUAGGGGAUGGAGUUUUUGGUCACCUCUGUGAGCUAGGUUAGGGUGAGAGAUAGGGACUGGCUCAAGAUCAUUCUGGUGUGCAUGCUCAGGAACAGGCAGCUGCCAAGGAUAUUCCAAGCAGGCACCUGGGGGUUGAGUUUUGUGGCAUGAAGGGCAAGAGUUUACUUGCCCUUCAUGCCUUCAGUCUACACAUGGCAGAGAAAUAUCUGCACAUCUGUAUUGUCAGACCAAUUCCAAUUUCUCUCCAUUUUUAGUCUCUGCAGCUAUCUUUGCAUGAACUCCAGAUGAAUACUAAUCAAUCACUGUGCAUGAGCACAAAAUUGCUUAAAUAAAAAUCUCAAUAUUAAAAUGGAUAUUUAUAUAGUUCUUUAAAAAUUAGCAUUUAGAAGCUAUAAACAGCCAUACCAUUAAACACCCUCGACUGGUUCAAAGGAUUUAAAACCAUGUCUUUAAAUUGCUGUAUAACGUUAAUUUGACAGUCUACAUGAUUUCUGCACUUAAAGAAAAAAUCCCCAGUUCUUUGCCAAGGUACCCCAAACUCUGGGUGUCUGAAUUAUGUGCAUAAUAAGUAUGACUUGACUAAUCAUUUUUCUUUGUUCUCUAUUCCUCUUGUGGACUACAGUCUCUGAACAGAGAACACUUGGGCCUCUAUUGAUAGAUGUAACCAGAAUUGCCCCCAAGCUACACACUUGCUUCUUCAGAGGCAUGCAAUCCUAUACAGAAUACCCAAUUCGCCAAUUCGCCAAUUCGCCAAACAUGGGAACCACCCACCCAAACGGCCUCCACCGCUCUGCCAUGACUUUCUCCAUCAAGAAGAGGGUAUUCACAACUGGGUGAUAGUUAUUCAAGGAUACUCUCUCCUUCAGUCUUCAUCUCCAACAAAGCCAGGGGGUUCCUGUCUGGACCCCUGGAUAUGGUCUUGGCCUUCAACAGAUGCCCAACCUCGCCAGUUCUUGAUGCCGGUCUUGUCCACAGUGCUACUAAUUAAUUCAAGAAUCAUCUGUAUUUAAUAUUAAUUACACUGCAUGGCUAUUAAUUUGCAUUGUGCAGUAAUACUCUAGAGUAGCCCUCUGUAGGCCGUUGCCAGAGCACGCUUAUUCUCCUUGACUUUACUGGAAUCCAAGGACUUUGCUCUGUAAAUGUCCAAUAGUUUCUCUGACAUCUGCAGGGCUCUGGCUUGUUAUUUACACUUAAUGAAUACACAUGAGCCAAGCAUCAUGAGGCCUGAUUGUGAGCUUCUUGUGUUUUUUCUGGAGAUGGCCGGAGUUAUGAAAGGGAAAGCUGGAACUGUUUCUUGCCUUAUGAUAGGACUCACACAUCUGCUUAGGUAACCACUAGAGGGGUUCAGAAACAUUUGGCAAUGGUCCCCCAAUGAGAAGGAACCCCCUGUGAUUAUUGACUGAAUAGAUUUUCUCAUUUAAAACUGGCAAAUUUCAGAUUGCUCUGAAUAUGCAUGGGAAAGUCCUAAUGGCAAAUACACAAGCACAGAGCCAGGCCAUUUUUAAGAACACCUAAAAUGCAAAGAUCCCAUCUUAGGAAUAAAUUCACUCACAAGACAGAUGUAACCAUAAAAACGUAAGAAUGUCGUCACACUGCAGUUCACGUGGCUGCUGACAAACAAGGAGGAGGGAAUUGGAGAAAGAGGCAGCUGAGGGGAACAGCUGAGACUGGUGAGUGAGCAGACAGGUGGAGAGUGACUAGAGAGGCAGGUGGACAGAGAGCUGAAGCUUGUGAGUGAGCAGGCAGGUGAGUAAGACUGGUGAGAAGAGUGGGUAACCCAGGCCACUGAGUGGAGCAUUGGUGGGCUAUGAGGAAAAAGGCAGGUGAGCAGCAAGGAGGAAGGGGAAUUGGGCAAGGUAUAAGAGGAAGAAGGGGAUUGGACAGGGGGUGGGGUUUGGCAGAUGACAGGUAGGUGGGUUGAUGAGUGAAGCACACAGGGGCAACAGCCCCUAGUGUAUAUAUAAAGUGGUUCAUAAAAACAUAUCGACUUGGAGGCUUUCUACACCUCAGCCUUAUAGAUAUGAACACUAUGUUGUAUUCCAAUAGUGAAGAGAUAAUAGAUUGGAAAGUGUUGAGGAGAUUCGUUAACAUCUGAAGGCCUGCUGUAGGGUUCACUGAAAGUGAAACUUCAAAUAAUGUACCAUUUUAUGCACACUAUUUGUGGUUGUUUUCUCAUGAUAAAUAGCGAUUUCAGUCAUGCAGAUCAGGGACGUUUGCCUGCUUGGGCUCAAGGAAAGGUUGUUGGGAAAAGGAUCUGCCCCUUCGUCUAUUUAUUUGUUUGUUACAGAAAUCACUCUGUCCCAUGAAGGUGAUGACCUUGGCACUCUUGGUGUAAUAUAUUUCACUGGGCUGUUGUAAAAAAAGGAAAGGAAGGGCAUUUGUAGGAGAACAAAAAAGUAAAACAGUGUGUUCUAAACAAAUAUAGACGGGGGGUGUGUGUGUGUGUGUGGUGUACAAUUCUGCCUUGCGCUCUCUAAAAAGAGCCCCUAUCCAUAGAUCUUCAGAGAUGAAGCAAUGUCCUAAGUUAAGGCCUCCAUUUUUUCCUUCCUCUCAGAUCCGCCACCAUUCGAAAGGCUCUGCAAUAAAAGUGAUGUCAACAUAUGCAAUCCUGGUUGGGCCAAAAACUCCCAUAAAGACAUAAGAAGAGCCCUGCUGGAUCAGAUGAUUGGCCUACCUAGUCCAGCGUCCUGUUCCCCACAGUGGAUAGCCAAAUGACUCUGGGAAGCCCACAAGAAGAAUAUAGGUGCCUUCGCCUUCUCUUGUUGCUGUUUCCCAACAACUGGUGUUCAGUGGCAGGGUUUUUAUUUUUAUUUUGGAGGUAGUAUAUAGACACCAUAACUAGUAACCUUAUACUUCAUGAAUCUGUACAUCGUGCAGAAAUGUUUAGCCAGCUUAAACUCUGAAGAGCAGUUGACCCAAAGUAGAUUAUGCGAUAAGUCAUGCUGAAUGAGCUAUCUGGGCCGAUGAAAGGCGGCUCAUAAGGUAAGAAUGUUUUAGAAUUCUGGGUAAUAGAGGGUGCUGAUUGGGAAAUGAUGAGGUGGUGAGUAUUCCAAUAAUAAGUCAAUUUUCUCUGUGGCUUCUGAAUUCCUUCUGAAGGACUUAUUAGGUAAUCAACCCGGCAGGAGACUUCACUGCUGCUUACAAGUUCCAUUUAUGCGCAUAUCCUCCAGCUGUUGAGCUUGUCUUGCGUCCGCUGUGCUUGAAACAGGUUUCUGCUUUAGCGAUACCAGCUCAGCAGUUGGUGCAAGUCAAAGGAAAGCCACUCAGUGGCAGCUGCGAAGGGCGACCCAACAGCCCAGAACUAACCUGCUAUGAGCUGCAGAGCCCAGUGAUCCAGAAAAGUGCUGUCAUUUCAAGAAUAAAUGCAGAGUCUGGGGACCCUGAGCAGAGGCACUGCCUGCUUUUCCUUAUGGGGGCAAACAAUGUUAUAGCAUCAUAAAGGCCUCUUCGUAUGUAAUAGAUGUACUUGCCCCGCUGUGGGAACAAAGCAGGGAAACUUUCCUAUUUGUCCUUAGACAACUUUGUCACAAUUUAAGUCUCACUCUGAAUUUUCAAAGGCAUCUCAUUUAAGUGUCUAGCAGAUGCAAGAUGGGAGCUGAGGCAAAUGUGAGCAUCAUCACAAAGGGUGUUGUCAGGGAACUGCCAUCAGUGCCGGAGGGAGAGAGCAAAAUCCAGAGGGAUUCCAGAGAGCGUCCUGGGAUUGGGAGAGGCAGCCCAUCUUCUGGGGAAGAGAAUCAGCGUAGCACCAGUGGAGAAGGGGGGCAGAUGGGGGAAGCGGCAAGGCGGUCCCAUGACUCCUUGCCGGGGACCAGCGGGGAGAGUAGAGGUCCUCCGCUGCCUAUGCCCUCCUUGCGCAGAAGGCUUUCACGCAGAGAGAGUAGGAGGAGACUAGGCGUCAAAGAGCUUCUUUGCUGGAAGAAGUUUAAGAAAUGCCCACUGACGGAUUCUGCCAGCGAUUGAGACAGCCACAGGUGAGUGGCUGUCCAGACAGAAAAGGUUCACUCAGGCAACUCAGCCAGGUGUUUGCACCGGCUUACGCACAAGCAACCCCUAGAACCACUACAGGUGUCUAUAUAGCCUCCAAUUACACCAUAGGAAGAAACCACAGAUUUGGUGAUGGAAAUUGUACCUCAUUUAAAGCCAAUGUGCCCCACUGCUUUUCACAUUCACCCUGGUGAUAGGUUGUUUCCCUCUUCUUCCAAGCAGCAGCAUGUUCUGGAAGAAGCUUUGUGGGAUACAUUGUGAAAAGAGAGGCCUGUGGAACUCUUCAUGAUAUCUGUUUACAGUACUCAUAAAUAUAUCACUUGUCAUGCUUUCAACAUCAAGUGAUUAUCUUGCCAUCAAAUGAUUAUUAUUUGGAACCAAUCAGGCUUGAUAGGAAAACGCAACUUCUCAUUUGGAACGAAUCAAGCUUGAUAUAAUAAUGCAAUAUGAGUCUGUAUGAGUCAUUUGCAGCAGGGUCACUACCUAAUCAAUCAUGUGAUAAUAGGGGAUGCUUGAGCAUUUUGCUCCUUUGCUAAUUCUGAUAUGAACUGAGCUGAUCCACACUUCCUGGGUUAAUGUACACAGUGCUUUUUUCCUGGGGGGACGCAGGGGUACGCAUACCCCUAAACAUUUUGUGAAUCUAAGUUUGGCCUCAUUGAGGGGCAUUAUUUCAAUGUGAGUAGGAAAAUGAGAGAUCCCCUAAACAUUAUUAUUAUUUUUAGGAAAAAAACACUGAAUGUACAAAUUGGAACCUGUUUAUCCACCCACUUUUGAACUUCCUAAAUGUGUAUACAUGGUUGUGCACAUAUUGAACAUGCAGAAACAGGUGGCUGCCUAUACUUUUGAAAACAACAGCAACACAACAAUGAAUUUUCCCCAAGGCUGUUUCUUAUCAGUCACAUUCAAAACUUAGCAUUUCUCCCAGUCCAUAAAAUUUCAAAAUGCCCUUUCAAUACAAAGUCCGAUCCUGG